AGGAGGAACAACCCCAGUGGCUGUGGCAGCUCUGGAAACCUGGAUUCAGCCCACGCAGUAACUAAGGAGCUCUCAGUCUGCAGGAUCUGGAGGCUCCGGGGCAGG
rnacentral:pre_miRNA from 1 species